UUUUUUUUAUUCUGUGGUGUAAAUUUUUUUAUUAACCAAAUACUUUAUACAAUCCAAACUGUGUUGCUGCAGCCUCAAAGACACUGGUACAACCCAUGACUAAGCAACAUUACCUGUUUCAUUAAUCCGCGAGUAAACUGACGUAAGUCCGUGAACCGGAACUCUCACCAUGACCUGAAUAAGAUGUACCCGUAGCUUUAUUUUUCACUGCUUCUGGCUUUAGUAAUGGAUCUAGGAGUUUUAUCAAAGAGAUUUAUUAACAAGAAUAGGGCAUCAGGAUUUUUUAGUUUUUUUAAAAUGAGUUAAUAGCUCAGCUGUUAAGGAGACGUAUUGUAGAAUGCGGGGCAUUGGGCAGUUAGAAUUUUAGGAAGAGAGCUUAUUAUAGUUUUGUGGAAUAGGCUAGGCUUUUAGAAUGAAAUGCUUGCACCUUAGGGACAAAGCCCACUGACUGGCUACUGUUCAGUUCGUUAACUAUACUCUUCAUAACGGGGGGGGGGGGGGGA